AUGCUUAAAAUAGAUCGUGUCGAAGCUUUUGAUCGACUAGAAUGGAACUUCAUUCUGCCUGCUCUUGCACGUAAAGGGCUGCAUGGUCAGUUCAUUAAUUUGAUACAUGCAUGCAUUUCGUCUCCUACUUUCAUUGUGCUUAUUAAUGGCCCUUCGCAUAAAUUUAAAAUUUCUAGAGGUAUUCGUCAAGGUUGUCUCAUGUCUCCUUAUUUGUUUGUUAUCGAUAUGAAUGAAUUGUCUGUUGCUCCCAAUGAAGCUCUUGCUGCUAAUCAUCUUCAGGCAAUUUCUCUUGGUCCAAAUUGCCCUUCUAUUCAUUCUCUGUUGUUUGCAGACGAUGUCUUGGUUUAUGGUCAAGCCACUAUCCAGGAAGCUAAUUCGAUGGCUCAUCUUAUCCAUCACUUUUGUUCUAUCUCACGUCAAACUACAAACUGGGCCAAAUCUGCCAUUCUUUUUAGUUCUCAUGUUACUCAAGCUACUAUUCAGGAGAUUAAGCAAGUUUUUCCUGUUUCUACCUUGGAUAGCAAUUUCACCAAUCCUGUUCAUCCGUUUAUUCUUCCUGCCAAAAAUAGAACUGCUGCUUAUAGCUUUGCUCUUGACAAGUUUACGAAUAAAUUGUUUGCUUAUAAACCCAAUAUGCUUUCCCAUGCUGCUAGACUGGAAUUGAGUCGUUUUGUUUUCUCCGCUAUUCAUGUUUAUUAUAUGGCUAACAUUUUGUUCACAAAGAAGUAUCUUGCUAAGCUCACUGCUGUCAUUAGGAGUUUUUGGUGGACAUGUGUUACGAAGAAUGUGAAGGAAAUAUGCCCUAGAGGCAAUAAUAAAGUUAUUAUUUAUUUCCUUAUUUCAUGA
rnacentral:rRNA from 1 species